GCUCAACCCCGAGCGGCCAUUGGAAACUGGGGAGCUUGAGUGCAGAAGAGGAGAGUGGAAUUCCACGUGUAGCGGUGAAAUGCGUAGAGAUGUGGAGGAACACCAGUGGCGAAGGCGACUCUCUGGUCUGUAACUGACGCUGAGGCGCGGAAGCGUGGGGAGCAAACAGGAUUAGAUACCCUGGUAGUCCACGCCGUAAACGAUGAGUGCUAGGUGUUAGGGGUUUCGAUGCCCGUAGUGCCGAAGUUAACACAUUAAGCACUCCGCCUGGGGAGUACGGCCGCAAGGCUGAAACUCAAAGGAAUUGACGGGGACCCACACAAGCAGUGGAGCAUGUGGUUUGAUUCGAAGCAACGCGAAGAACCUUACCAGGUCUUGACAUCCUUUGACCACCCAAGAGAUUGGGCUUCCCCUUCGGGGGCAAAGUGACAGGUGGUGCAUGGUUGUCGUUAGCUCGUGUCGUGAGAUGUUGGGUUAAGUCCCGCAACGAGCGCAACCCUUGAUCUUAGUUGCCAGCAUUAAGUUGGGCACUCUAAGGUGACUGCCGGUGACAAACCGGAGGAAGGUGGGGAUGACGUCAAAUCAUCAUGCCCCUUAUGACCUGGGCUACACACGUGCUACAAUGGAUGGUACAAAG
rnacentral:rRNA from 1 species